rnacentral:rRNA from 1 species
UACGGGGGGGGCAAGCGUUGUUCGGAAUUACUGGGCGUAAAGGGCUCGUAGGUGGCCAACUAAGUCAGACGUGAAAUCCCUCGGCUUAACCGGGGAACUGCGUCUGAUACUGGAUGGCUUGAGUUUGGGAGAGGGAUGCGGAAUUCCAGGUGUAGCGGUGAAAUGCGUAGAUAUCGUGAGGAAGACCAGUGGCGAAGGCGGAUCUCUGGACAGUUCCUGACGCUGAGGCGCGAAGGCCAGGGGAGCAAACGGG